GGAUGGGAUGGGAUGGGAGGGAGGACCUUCAGGCCGGGGCGGGUCCCUCGCCGAUGCGCGCUGCCGGGGGUGUCCUGGCUCCGGCUACCCUGAGGGGAAGGAGAAGAGGGAGCGUCGCUGCCGCCGUCGAGGGAGCUCCGUCUUUGGUUGGCCCUUGGCGAGCACCGCUUCCCCGUCCGGCCCCGGGAGCGCUUCUCGUCCAAGAGGUGGGUGCUGUGGGUUUCGGGACCAGCGCCAGCGCCUCCUUCCGCCUCCCCUGCCCCACUUCUGCUUCUCCUCUUCCACCCCCACCCACACAGCCCGCAUGUCUCCGCGGGAUAUGGCGAUUUGGGGGGAUCCUAGGGGUAAAUAAUAGCCCUUCCUCGCGCUUCGCUCCCCAACCUGGACGACCAUGGCUUGCCCCCCCCCUAGAUUUGAUCCUGGCUACGCCCAUGCUCCUGCCCCCUGCCCCCUGGCCACAGCCCCCUCUCUCCUGCUCCAGGAAUCCCGCGCUGCCCAACACACGCGCGCACACACGGACCCAAUUCCUCUCGGCGGGUGCUGAAGGAGCCUGCUGGGCUGGCGACACCUGGCGGUCGCAGCGGGAACCACAAAGCGGCACUCCGCUUCAUUCAGGCGCGCGGCUCCGGGGGUCUCCGUCGCUAAGGUCCCGUCGGGCGCUUUUUUGGAGGCCUGGGACCGCUUUGAAGGGCCGGUGGCGAGGGGUCCAAACGGGAAGUUCGCAGCGGGGGAGUUGGGAUCCUGAUCUGCUCCAGUAACACCCCCUAUCUGAAUAUAUAGCGUCUCUUUCGUUAUAGAUAUAUGUUUUUUAUACCGAGAGCGUUGCUGUUGCGCUCAGGUACUGCUUGGGGGCUUCGCUUUGGGGGCUUCUGGUUGGCCACUGUGAGAACUGGGUACUGGGCUCGAUGCCCCCCCCCUUGGCCUGAUCCAUCAGGGCUUAUGGUAGCCCCACCCCCUCCACCAAUGUCCAGUUUUCAUUCUUUUAAAACACAACACCCAAAUCCCCAGUCGCUCUGAACUGAGCAUGUAAGCAGGAUUCUACCCAGUUCCCCACUCAGAUGUCACACAAUCAGUCGUCCAGGUCCUGCUCGGGGGGCUUCCCCUUUGGGGCAUCGAAUUGGGCGCUGUGAAUACAUUUGGCCCAGUCUGCACUGCAGGGCCCUUCGGGUGAUCUUCUCCUCGCAUGUUUUCAGUGGCUUGGGUGUGUGUGUGAGGACUGGGAAGCCGCAGAAACCGGGAGUUUAGCACGGGCAAUGGGUCUCCCUUCCUGCUGCCUCGGGUUAUUUCUUUGCAACCUCUCUCAAAUUUGGGAAAGAGCCUCCGCCGCGUCGGGUCUUCUCCUGCAGCCAAAACCAACCCGGACCCCCGUUGCUAUCAAAGCGACGGCUGUGGUCCUCAGCCGGGGGCAGGAACCGGCCAAGGAAAGUGUGUGAAAGAGAAAGUGAUGUUUAUCCGUGUGUGUGUGUGUGAGUGAGUGAGAGAGAGAGAGAGAGAGAGAGAGAGAGAGAGAGAGAGAGAGAGAGAGCGUACCUUGUUUUUGCACGAUGAGAUUUCGGAAGGAGACUGGGACCAGAGUCCUGUUUUCUCCUUAGCUGCUUCCAGCGCUCACCAUCCCGCUCCUUUCCCGCCCCCCUCCAUUUCCAGUGACCCAGUGUUGCCUAGUGGUUAGAGUGUGGGACAAGGACCUGGGAGAGACCUGGGUUCAAAUCCCUCACUUCGCCAGGUGACCGGGGGCCAGUCAGUCACUCUCCGCCUAACCUACCUCGCAGGGUUGUUGGGUAGAUUAAAUGUGGGGGGGGGGAGAGAGAGAGAGAGAACCACCUUGAGCUCUUUGGAGAAAAAAGGUGGGAUUUAAAUGCAAUAUGUAAAUAAACAAAAUUAAUUUCCUUUUACAAGUUGCAAUAAAGUACUGUAAUACAGAAUCUUAUCGCCAGGGACCUCAUUCCGUCUCCCUGCUUCCCUCUCCUCCAUGUCUUCCAUUUUAUUCCAUUCUGACCCGCUCAAGGCCAUCAGACCCACUUCACAAAUUAUGUGGGCCCUGAAAGGCAUUUCUCGCAUUUCUUCAUUAUUUGGGGGGGGCGCUUUUCAAGUAGAGAGGGGUCACAUCCCAAAGCGGCUUAACAGCGGAGUUCAGGCGCGAUAUGAUUUUGAACCGGGAGAGCAGGGGGAGGCAUCGUCCACACGAGACCCAGACCCAGAAGCGUGCGUGUAAGAGAGAAAAAGAUUGUAAGAUCCGUGUUUUAUUCCCCGCGCCUUCAAAACCUCAGUGCAUUUCUCUACGCCGGCGGGGAAUACAAAUAUUAUACAGGAGUCCGUGUUCAGACGACCACGGCAUAAAAACCCACAUGAGCAGCGCUCUAAAUACCAAAUCCCUCCACUCUCUGAACACGGGUAGGACUUGGAGACUGGUUUUUUUUGGGGGGGGGGGGAGCUCGCCUCUACUAAUAUUCCCUGCAGGCGAACCCGCCCCCCGUCGCCGAUUGACAAACGGUUGGACGGGUGAAACUAUUUGCUGCUUUCAUUUAUUUCGAAGAUUUAUAAAACGCUUGAUCGAAAGAGAUUCUCCGGCUCUGCUUUCCCCGGGUUAAAUCGAGGGUUAAGCUCAGCCGCUGGCGAUUUAGGUUAAGGAGCGAAAAUGGACCCGAGGAAUAUAAGGCAAUAUUUUUUUUUAUUGCGCCUAUUCUUCCAAAAAAGGAUUUAAACCGAAUAGGAACGUUUGCUUCCUUAGCUGGAGGAGCGAGGCGGUUUUUCUCCGCCUUUUCAAAGGCUUGAAAACGACAAGAAACGCGUUAAUGAAUUAAUAACAAAAACUUCUCAACUUAAAACAAAACAACACAAUUGAAUUUACAACCGCAACAAAAACUUAUGAAAGGGGAUUUUGGGGAGGGAUCGAUGGAUUCUGCUGGAAGCCACUCAGGCGCGCCCAACAUUGGAGAGGGAGAAGAGGCCCUUUUUUAGGCGUUUGGAGAUCGCAGGCCCGCCGCCCCGGGGAUGGGCGCCUGAGGCUGGUUUCAUUUUCGCCUCUCUUGCGUCGCAAGCCCAGGCGGGCGGACGCCUCUCCUUUCCAUCGCUGUUUAGGAGAUUCCCCCCACUCAACUUUUGAAAAUACGCCCCCCCCAAAAGGGCGCACGCCCAGACUUCAUCUCCUCCGGGGCUUUCAAAGACUGGCGUGUUUGCCGCUUUGCGAGGCGAAUUUCGAGAUCGUUACCGUGGAUUUAUCCCGGUUUUUGAGCGAGAAUAACAAUUGCAUUUCAGGAAUAGCAUGUGCAAAUCCCCACACCCCAAUUUAUAAUUAUUAUUGCUAUUAUUACUAUUUUAUUAAUUGCUAAUUUAAUUUAGUUAUUAUAAUAACCGUUGUUGUUGCUAUUAAUAAUACCAACAGGAAUCUAGGUCGUAUUUGUUUUGUUUUUUGUUUGUUUGUUUGUUUUUAAACUACCUUGUCAGCCUCUUCGCGACUUCAGAAUAUUUCCAAUGAAUAAUAUUAUUAAUUGAUUAUUUCCGUGGGAUCGAACGCUUUGCUCUGGCGCCCGCUCCCUUUGCCGAAAGGCGCCCAGGGGGGCCACACGACCCGGCCCGCGGACACUUCCCCCCUUCCCAGAGAAAUGGGAAGAAACCCGGAAAGCGAGGUAACUUGUCUGCCCUGGGGAAGCUCAGCUGCCCCGCUCCGGGACGAGGGGAGACGAAGUUCGCUUUUAUCCCGCUUUGAAAGGGCUCCGCUCGCCUUCCCUGCCAGUUCCCUGCCCGGAAGAUUUGCAAAUAAGAAGCUUAGCGAAUAUGAAAGUCUGAGGUGUGUGACACAGCCGCUCGAAAGCAAAAGCAGCAAUCACGUACCCACAACGAAAGGAGGCAGGAAGGAACAGAAACAGAGCCUGCAAAGGGGGGGGGCUAGUCCUACUCGGAGUAGACGUAUUAACUGGCACGCAUAACUUAGGUCUAAUGAUUGCAGUGGCUUUACUCUGAGUAGAGCUGAGUUGGGGAAUCACUCCUCGUGGCCCUGCUUCCGUUAUAAAAACUGCUAAACCCGUUUCACUACCCUCCUCGGCGCCCCCACCCACUUUUAGUGGGGGUCCGGCUUAUUUUAAUUCGGGGUUCUCUGGUGCCUUCGGUGGGCUUUCAGAGGUGCGUCCGGAGAAACGGUGUGUCCAGGCUGACAUAAUGAAAUGCUAAACAGUAACAAUCAAUUGCACGUUUAUUCAAAAUCCAGUUAAAUUUUGUUUAAUCAAUGCUACAAAAUUGAUGAACCUGAUGCAGCGACACCACCAAAGUCUGGUUGUCAUCUCCGGUGUCCCCCUUGCCUCUUAGCGCACGCAAACACACACACACACACACAAUAUCUCACUGCUCCCCCAGGAGGUGCUACUGUCCUUUUUGGGAAAUGCUGGUCUAAAUCACCAUCAGGCAGACACGGGCAUUUCUGUAAUAGCAGGAGAAGCCAAGAGGAGCUUGGAGACUUACUGGUAGGUCUGGGCACCUGCCUGUCUCUUGGGGACAGAAGGGAAAGCCCCAACAUCUUCAUCCCAUCCCAUGACCCCAGAAAAGGAGCAUGGCCUCCCCAGUGGUGGCUCCAGCUUGCAGACCUCUGCAGACAAGCAAAAAUACAGAUGGUUCUUUAUGAACCUUAGCUUGCCUUCCCUACUCUCAUUUCUGUCUUUCCAAAUGCCCAUUGUUGACUGCUGCCUCAGUUUAAGGAAGAGGGUCUACCCGUUUCCAAAUUGGCUUUUGGGCUCCCUGCAACCCAUAAUACAGCUCAGGUCACUUGGCUUCAUCUUGGAAGGCAGAAAUGUCUCUGGAGUGCCUAAACGUAAACCACUUCAAGGUUGUUGACAAUCAAGCUGUAUAUAAAGAAAUAAAGAAAUAAAAUUGUCGGAUGCAAGCUUUGGAGUCACACAGGACUCUUGCUUCAGGAUGAAUCCUCAAAAGAGAAAGACAGGGCCCUGUGUGACUCAGAAGCUUGCACCUUAAAAUGCCAAGAUAUGAGGGAAGCAUUGACCCUCCUAUCUUCCUAUAUGGCAGCUUUCUUCAAGCCGUUGCAAUUCUCAUCAGCUAGAUUUAGCCGUGGGUCUAAUAGUCCUUGACAGAACUCUCCAUCACGAAUGUGCCUCAUCCCCCUUUCAGAGACAACUAAGACCAUCACAUGGCGGUGUGAUUCUGGACUGUAUAAGCAGGCAGUUUCUCAGAUCCAUUUAAAAUCCCCUGUCAGCCACACAACCCCAAAGUUCAAUUAUUAUCAGAGAAAAUAUAUUUAUAAAACUUUUAUCUAGGAGGGAGAGCAAACCUCAGACCCAGGGGAGAAAUGCAACCCCCCCCCCGGGCUUCCCAUCAAGCCCUUGGGCCUUGCCCCAGGCCACACCCUCUUUCCCUAGCCUCUGAUUGGCCCUGCAUUGCAGAUUUUGGAUGGCUUUUGGGGGUCCCUCCCAAUGCUCCAGUUCUGAUUCUGCCUCUUGCUCGCUUGCCUGAAUGGAAGGUGGAGAGUUUUAUGCGCGAGAGCACAGUUUUUGUAUACAAAAGUACAAAAUCACACCUGUGGCUCCGCCCUCUUUUCCAUUUGGCCCAACCCACUGCUGCCAAGUGGCCCCCAGAAAGUUGCCAGCGAGCCACUGUGGCCCUCAGGCUGAAAAAUCCUCACCCCAUGACCCUUUUCCUGCUGAAUCCUUCCUAACACACAUCCACGCUAAACAACUCCCCACACUUCCCUCAUAGUUUCCUGGUCGGGAACAAGGCUGGAUAAGGCCUUGUUGGCUGCCUGCCUGCCCAUAAGUGCCAGAAAUGAGGCUGGGAGGGUGGCUUUGGCCCAGGGCUAAGGUCAGGCUGGCAUUUUCUCCUGUUGUGGAAAUGGCUGCUGGGGGGGGGAGUGGGGUCUGGACCAAGGGAGAAAGAACUGUGUCCUUUGUUUCCCUUUCCCCAGCAAGCUCCACCUGCCUUUGUGCAGAGUUGCAGCCCUGCAGGGCUGCUUCUUAGGGGGAAAGAAAGGGUGUCUCUUUUGGGAAACCCACAAGCAGGAUCCGGGCACAAUAACUUCUGCUCCUUUGGUUCAGAGACUGCAGCCUGCAUGUCCUUUGAGAAUCAGUGGUUCCCAAACCUUUUGAUGGGCCACCCCACCCCCCGCUUGGUUGCCUAAGUUCUUCAUCCCCAGGGUUCCCUACCUUCUUAAAAGAAUUAUUCAGAAUAGUACCACUGAGGAAAGACCAGGACGCAGUAAAAAUCAGAACAGUAACAAUUAAUUGAACGUUUAUUCAAAAGCCAAUGAGAACUAUUUAGUUUCAUUAAUUCAACACAGCAGAUGAAAUCGGUCCAACUUUUCAAAGUCUGAUAGUCACCAACACCUCCAGCACCCCUGCCUCUUAGCAGCCCCCCCCCCCGUAACCCUCUCCAGGAAGUGUUAGAAACUGGGAUAGAAAAGCUAGGAGUGAAAUGGCUCCUGAGAGCUGGGUUAUGGGCGCCAAAACAGAAUGUCUAGUUGCCACUGGAGGAGUCAGCAACACUUUUUAUUUAUUACUUUUGAUAAGCAUGAAUUAAUAUGCAAUUCACGUAAGUAGCACAUUGUUAAUAUCACAUUUUUUUAGCAGAAACUGUUAAUACAUGUUUAAUUUGGUGUUGACAAUAAAAAAAUAUUGGUACCAUACUUCAGUUUUCAAAACACUCUACUCUUUAUUGCUAAAUUCCUUAACAUAUUGUCUAUCUUUGACAUAUACUUUGAGGCUUCAAAGCACAUACAUUUCAGGAAUCCUUGAGUGUCAGCCAGGUGCAAAAAUAUGGCACCCAGACUCUUUGAGCUGCUUGCAAAUGUAAAAUCUUUAGGCUCAAAAUGUGCCUGGCACCCUGCUAAUUUCGAACCCUGCCUCUAGGGGGUUCUGCCACCCACUUGCAUGCACACUGGUACCUAUAUAGAAAACCCAGACCUGGACUCCUUGGCGCCCCACCCACUGAGCCAGGGAGCCUCCAGGGCAGAGCCCAAAUGCGGCCCUCCAGGGGCCUCUCUCUCCGGCCCUCGGAACUCUCCCCAGGCCACUCCCCUCCUUGGACUCUGAUCCUGCCUCUUUCCUUCUCUGGAAGGAGCAUGGAGAGAGGUGGGUGGGUGGGUGAGUGUGGAUAGAAACCUGCCUGCUGUAUGGAGGUAAAAUUUGCUCCGGGACACUUAAUUAAUGUUUAAUUAUUAUUCUUUAACAUUUAUGCACCUUGAUGGCAUCCAUCUGUCUCGAGAGACAACAGAGUGCACCCCCAGGGGUCAAACUGCUGCAUUAGCAGCACCGGAGUGAGCUCUCCGAGGCACAAGCCUGGGCAGCGUGUCUGGAGGUCGUGGGCUGCCCAGAUGGCAAGACUCUUGGCCUCACUGAUAUGGCCUCACAGAGCAAGGCGCUUGGCAUCUUCUGAUUGUAGAAAAACCAACAGACAACCUCAAAGCUGUUUACUUACGUUCCAGUUGUGACACCCGCUUGUUUGUGUAUUAUGUUUAUUGUUGAUGCGUUGUCGAGAUUAUUUCAUAGAAUCAUAGAGUUGGAAGAGACCACAAGGGCCAUCCAGUCCAACCCCCUGCCAAGCAGGAAACACCAUCAAAGCAUUCUUGACAUAUGCCUGUCAAGCCUCUGCUUAAAGACCUCCAGAGAAGGAGACUCCACCACACUCCUUGGUAGCAAAUUCCACUGCCGAACAGCUCUUACUGUCAGGGAGUUCUUCCUAAUGUUUAGGUGGAAUCUUCUUUCUUGAAUCUUCUUUCUUUAUUUAAAGUAAAACAUGAUAAUGCAUUUUUUAAAUAAUGAAAUGUGCCUUGGUUGUCCUGCCUACCACUGACAUACGUGUCCCCUGGGAGGGGACCUAGAAGGGAAGGCAGUCUUCAAGAUGAAAGAGCCCCCCCCCCACCUCUGGACUAAUAGCCCUCCUCCUCAAUUUUGGGCAAAUCUGGCCUCCGUUAAAGAGACCCCAUUAGAGAGACUGCAUCUUCAGCAGACUGCCACACAGACGGUAGCCGAAUUUAUCUGCCCGAAAGUCAGCCAGUGCUAUAAUGUUGUUGUGAAACAGUGGUAGGGUUUCUUUUUCUUGUGACAGGCCAAAGGACGCCUUCCUUUCCCCAUUGCAUAGCCAACUUAUGGAAUUCACUGCCGCUUGAUAGCAUUAAAAGCGGGCUUUGCACUUUCUAGGGACGGGUGACGUGAGGAGGGCUUGCCGUGUCCUGCUUGCUGGACUUCCUGUUGUGGCGUCUGGUGAGAAACAGGAAGUUUGCCUCAAGGGCCUUUUGGCCUGACCCAGCGGGGCUCUGAUGCCUGUGAGGUUUUGAGGACAGAUCUCUCAGAUUCUUGCAUUUCCCUUUCUCACUGAGCCUUCCAUAAGGACAACCGCCACCCUCCUCCUCUUCAUCUUCUUGCAACGGAGAGAUAUUCAACAACGUUUUGUUCUGACCCGAUGCCCCCUUCAUUAAAAGGAAGGCGCUCCCAGGCCAACAAGGGUGGGCUCAAGUCCCAAGGAUGUUUUUUUUUCUGGGCCCUAGCAAGGGACAAACCGGCUGAAAAGCUUUACACAGGGUAUGAAAUGAAUGUGUGAUCUUAAUUUUAUGUUAAUAAAAAAUGUGAUAAUAUUUCUACCUGUUGAAUCCUAGAAUCCAAGAACUGUAGAAUUGGAAGUGACCCAAAGGUCAUCUAGUCCAACCCUCUGAAAUGCAAGAAUUAGCUAAAGCAUCCAGGACAGAUGACCAUCCAACCUCUGCUUAAAAACCUUCAAGGAAGGAGAGUCCAUCACCUCUUGUGGGAGUCCGUUCCACUGUCGAACAGCUCUUACUGGGAGAAAGUUCUUCCUGAUAGUUUAGUUGAAAUAUAAAACUUUGCAGAGCAUGGAGAAAGUGCAUAGACUUCUCAAUGUAAUACUAAAACUCAGCAGGGUCCUCCAAUGAAAUGGAAUGUUGGAAGAUUCAGGGCAGUUUUAGAGUUAAACUGUGGAACUCCCUCCCACAGGAAGCAGUGAUGGCCACUGAUCUGGAUGGAGGCAGCCACGCUUCCGAGUACCAGUGCUGCUCUUGUGCUUGCAGGCGGGGCUUCCCAGGGGGGCACCUGGUUGGCUGCUGUGAGAAUAGGAUGCUGGACUAAAUGGGCCACUGGCCUGAUCCAGCAGGUUCUUCUGAUAUUCUUCCCCAACCUUAGCUGCCAGAGACUGAAUCUUGGACCUUCUCACCAGGCAGAGCUGGCCCUCUGGUCAGACCUCACCUGGAGUACUGUGUCCAGUUCUGGGCACCACAGUUCAAGAAGGAUACUGACAAGAUGGAACGUGUCCAGAAGAGGGCAACCAAAAUGGUCAAAGGCCUGGAAACGAUGUCUUAUGAGGAACGGCUUAGGGAGCUGGGUAUGUUUAGCCUGGAGAAGAGAAGGUUAUGGGGUGAUACGGUAUGAUAGCCAUGUUCAAAUAUAUAAAAGGAUGUCAUAUGGAGGAGGGAGAAAGAUUGUUUUCUGCUGCUCCAGAGAAGUGGACACGGAGCAAUGGAUUCAAACUCCAAGAAAGAAGAUUCCACCUAAACAUUAGGAAGAACUUCCUGACAGUAAGAACUGUUCGGCAGUGGAAUUUGCUACCAAGGAGUGUGGUGGAGUCUCCUUCUUUGGAGGUCUUUAAGCAGAGGUUUGACAGCCAUCUGUCAGGAAUGCUUUGAUGGUGUUUCCUGCUUGGCAGGGGGUUGGACUGGAUGGCCCUUGGGGUCUCUUCCAACUCUACGAUUCUAUGAUUCUUCCCCUCGGCUACGGCUCCCCUUUGUGAUAAUCUCUCUGGGAUGAUCGAAAGAGAUGGAGGAAGAGGUCUUUCCGAACGAUGCUCCAUCUCCUUUGGAUCACUUGGAGAGGACAGGUUGGAGGCAAAGUCCUUUUCUGAACCAGAGAUUAUGGGAUGUUCCCACCACUCCCCCUCCCCCCAGCAAUGGGUGCAAAGCAAGGAGUUUGCCAAAUGUGCAGAGAGGAGGGACAUGUUUGGCAGGAGGCAGAACCCGGCUUUGAAGGCAUCCGAUGAUCUCACUGUUGGUUCUGCAUGCAUGGCUGGGAACCAGGGCGGCUGAUCAGAGGAAGCUACGUUAUCCAGAGUUCAAGUCUCUCCAGAGUUUCAGAAAAGCUCCACUCGGAGAGUCCGGGGGUUGAGACUGAGGGCUCUGAACAACGUCCCUUUCCGUAAGAAUAAAGUUAGAUUCCAGUCCUCCUGGUUCUUAAUGAAGGGCUGGCUUCACCUGGAGCAUAGGAAGCAAGUCGUAAUUCCAAAUAAAUCAGAAUAGCUGGCCUAUACGAUUCAGGUCCUUGGGUCCGUCUAACUCAGUCCUGCCACUGAGUGGCUCUCCAGAAAUUCAGGCAGGGAACAUUCUCAGUCCUACCUGUGGGAAUGUUGUAGAUACUAGGAGAGGAUAUAUUGAUUGAAUAGUAUCCUUCCUAACUCACGCUUGUGAGUCAACAGCAGAGUGCAGCCCCCCCCCAUAUACAGCAGGAAGCUAAUUGGUAGAUUUGUUUGAAUCUCUUUAGGGCGCUGUGGUCUAAACCACUGAGCCUAGGGCUUGCUGAUCAGAAGGUCGGCGGUUCGAAUCCCUGUGACGGGGUGAGCUCCCGUUGCUCGGUCCCAGCUCCUGCCAACCUAGCAGUUCGAAAGCAUGUCAAAAUGCAAGUAGAUAAAUAGGAACCGAUACAGUGGGAAGGUAAACGGCGUUUCCAUGUGCUGCUCUGGUUUGCCAGAAGCGGCUUUGUCAUGCUGGCCACAUGACCUGGAAGCUAUACGCCGGCUCCCUCGGCCAAUAAUGUGAGAUGAGCGCGCAACCCCAGAGUCGGUCACGACUGGACCUAAUGGUCAGGGGUCCCUUUACCUUUACCUUUGUUCAGAUUGGGUCCUGUUCCUGGUAAGGCUUCUCUUACCCCUCCUAAAAAGAAUAAAGACGAAAGAAGCUUCUUUUAAAAGUAAUAAGUCAUGCCCACCUACCUGGCCACAUGCAGGGGGACGAUGCUGCGGACCAGGUGGAACUGGCUGGAUCAACAUCGCCCUUCCGUGUCCACUCGAGGCAAACAGGAAGUGUUGUACUUGACUGCUUAUGCUACAUCCCACACGACUUGGGGAUGCUGCCAGGGAUUGAACUUGAGGCCUCCUACGUCUCUAGGCAACAUUCCUUUCCUUAAGAAUAAGGUAGGCUUCCAGUCUCCAUGGUUCCUAACAAAGGACUGAUUUCAACAGGAACAGAGGAAGAACUUUCUGGCAGUAAGAGCUGUUUGACAGGGGAACGGACUCCCUCGGGUGCUGGUGGCCUCUCCUUCCUUGGAGGUUUUUAAGCAGAGUCUUGGAUGCUUUAGCUGAGAUUCCUGGAUUGCGGCGGGUUGGGCUAGAUGACCUUUGGGUAUACCUUCCGACUCUGCAUUCCUUUGAUUCUAUGAGGAAGCUGCCUUAUACUGAGUCAGACCACUGGUCCACCUAACUCAGUUAUUGCCUACAGUGACUGGCAGCAAUGGCUCUCUAGGAUUUAAGACAGGGGACGUUCACAGCCCUACCUGAAGAGGCCAUUGGGGAAUGGGCCACAUCUCAGCAGUGGAGCAGCUGCUCUUAAUUUACUUUUAUUACAUUUACCCCAAGGUCCCAGGGAUGGGCGGCAACAAUAAAACAGGCAACUGUAAAACGGGGGGGGGGGGGUAGGCACAAUUGUAAAACAAGUGUUUUAGAUUCAAUUGAAACACUUCUGUAAUGAUUCCAUAUAUAGAAAAUGAUACAAACCAUUUUACCAAAAAAUACCACGUAUGGAAAUAGUCUGAAAAUUGUUCCAGUGCAGAUGGAGACUGGGAUAAAGGCCUUUAGGAGGCAGCAAAACAGCAAGAGAGAUGUCUAAUAUUGCAAGGAGGAGGUGCCACCACACACAAGGCCCUGUUCCCACAUUGCAUGGAAUGGACCCGCUUUGCAGACAGAAGAUCCCGGGUUCAAUCCCCAGCGGUGUCUCCAGUUAUAAAGGCUCAAGGAGCAACAGGUACUGCAAAAGGCAGACAUCUCUGCUUUGAGACCUUGGAGAGCUACUGCCAGUCAGAGCCGACAGUACUGGGUGGGUAAGCAAGGAGUCUGGUCUUGCAUCCAGAAGUUCCCUGGUUCCAUUCCCACAUUUUCAAAAACAAAGAGGCAGCAGGACAAAACGGCCUGAGACUUGGUGAGGCAGUGUCACAGACACAAAACGGGACUCAUACUGAGUCAAGCUGCCAGGCAAUGAGGCAGUGGCAGUGUAGCAGUCAGAGUGCCAGCCUAGAACCUGGCAGGCCCUGGGUUCAAGUCCCUGUUCAGCCAAGAGGCUCGCUGGUGUGACCUUGGGCCAGCUGCCAUCUCUCAUCCUGACCCGACUCAACAUCAGGAAGAACAUUCUGACAGUCAGUGGGACAAACUCGCUUGGAAGUGGGUGGGCUCUCCUUCCUGGAGGUUUCUAAACAGAGGUCGGGUGGCCGCCUGUCAGGGAUCCUUUGACUGUGAUUCUUGCAAUGCAGGGGGUCAGACUAGAUGACCCUUGGGGGACCCCUCCAAACAAUUCUAUGAUUCUUACUCUUCUAACCUACCUUGCAGGAUUGUUCUGAGGAGCAAAUGGUGAGACAAAGGAGUAUCCGUGUCCCAUUGAACUUCUCAGAGGAAUAUAAAUAAAUGAAUUUCAAAACAAAAUGAAUAAAUACCGUGCAUUGUGAAGAAAGGCUCCCCUCAUAUUGCAUUUCCUUCUUGACCAAACUUACAAAAGGGGCACCAUCAGAGACCCCAAAAGGCACAAACUUAGCUGCACCCCACACCCCCGAAAUUAACUCUCAUCUUUGCUUCAUCUUCGGCUAAUUGUUGGAAACAAUUUCUUUUCUCUCUCUCUCUCUCUUUUGGAGAGGUUCUGGCAUCAGACUCUGCAUGGCUGGUGUGAGGAAUGGGUCCCCCAGGCAUCAUCCAGGGCGCGUUGGCCAAGAUCCCUGGCAACAACAUCCCCAGACGGGCUUCGGAGGGUGGCGUGUGUUUACCCAGAAGGAAGCCCAGCUGAGCAAAAGGGUGCUAACUCUGCAGCCUGCAGGGACUGCGCUCAGGAUCAGGGCCCCGCAGAAUUUCCAGACGUGAGACCUUCAGGAGCUUCAAUCUGCUUCAUCGGAAGUAAAAUGGACCUCACAGGGACGGGAUGGUGGUGAGGACCACCUUAAAGAGCGAGAAAAUGGGGUGGGUGGUCUGAGCCUCCUCAAAAAAAGGGCGUGGGAAGGGCCUAAGAGAAGCUUCUUCUCCUGCAAGGAGCAACUCUUUGGUUUAGCCAAUCCUCACCGACCCUCAAAUGCUUCUCUGCAGCCAUGAGGACUAGAAGCUUGGGGAUUCCUUUAGAGUGGAAAUGAGAAGGGGUUCCCCACUGCGUGGCACAGGGUGGAGGGAGGGAGUAGUCCUGGGCGCGAGGGAUGCUGAAGUUUCUCUGUGAUCCGCAAAACUGUUUGCUUCCUUCCUGUGAUAUUAUCAAGGUGAAGAUUCCGCAUUUCCCUUCAGAGGUUGAUUGCCCUUCUGAGUUUCUGCCUGUCAGACAGCUAUGAAAAUAGAGAUAUGGCUCUCUGGGUGUCAUUGGACCUCUUCAUCAGCCCCAGCAGUAAAAACAAACAAACAAACAAACAGAGAGAUUUGAGAGAAAGCGAGGAGUCCGGCUGCUCCUGCGUCCAUCACGAGCAGAGGAAGGGAAAUGCGCUUUGCACAUGCUCAGAGGACACCUCCCAACGCUCAGCUCUGGCAACAGCAAAUGACUGUUUCAGUCCCGGGUGAGAGAGAUGAGCCUCUUUGAGGUGGGGGGAGUGGGGUUCAGAGGUGGUGGGGGCGCGUGGAGAACUCAAGAGCGCGAUGGGGCUGAUGCCUGAAAGGGGUUGAAGAGCCUGCCAGCCUGGCGCAGAGUGUUGGGAGGGGGCGUCCUUGGGUGUGUGGGCUGCUGCGGGGGAGGAAGAGGAAGAGGUGACUAACUUGAGCUCUGCGCCCACCCACCCCACGCUUCCUUCCCUCACUCCCCACGCCUCAUUCAUCCCUCUCUCCAUUUCUCUCUCCAUCCACCCGUUUCUUCCAGACUUUUCUCUUCCCCUCUUCCUAGCGCUGCAGCAGUUCCGGGGCAUGGGCAGAGAGAGGGGUGAGCUGGAGCCUUCACCUGGGGAGCGGAGCGGGUUUGGACUUGGAGCCCAAACCUGGACAAGGAGGGGUGGGCCAGCUCAGCGGGGGGCCCUCCCCACCUUGGCCCGAGGCGAGGGACCCAGGCAUCUUCCCUGCAUCAGCACCAGCCUUCAUCCCUGGUUGCCAUGGAGACCACAAUGAUGCUUUUCCAGGGCAGAAUGUGAGGUCAGGGGAGGGGGGCGGGAGGAGGACGAGCAGCUUCAAACACAAACAAGAUUGGGAGCGGGGAGAAGGCAAUUGCGGGGAGUGGGGGCGCGGCGGCGCCCGGAUAUGGUUUCCAGGCAGUAAAUACGCCGGGGGGGGGAAAGGGGGGGGUUGCUUCUUUUUGCAGAUUGCAGUGUAGGAAUGAAGCUGGAAUUGGGAAAGUGAACCGUUGUGGCGCUGGGGGACGACGACAGGCAUUUGUGGUUUGUCCCUUUCGGCGUUAUCUGUAAGGCAAAAUGUGGGGAGCGGAGGUCAUAGUCCGCUGGCAAAGCCCCCCCCCCCCAUUCCACGCUCUGGGUUAACAGACCUGGAGUAAAAUAGCAAUUUUAGCCCCCCUACGGACUAGCACCUUGGCACGACUUUAAGAGCCCAGGGCACGUUUUUAACGCUUCCCUUGGGGCUGGGUGUGGGGAGAAGAAAGCGACAAUUUUUCUCAGUGUAGACCCCCCCUUCCCACAGCCAGCCAGCCGGCGAUGCCCCCCCCUCCCUCGGGUGGCGCUGACACUUCCUCGCCCUGCUGCCCAUCCACCUUCUUCUCCCACGCUGACUUAUCCCUUGCCAGCCCCGCGGUGUGUACUCUCCGAUAUAAGUAUUAUGGGAGGGGGUGUACGCUGCUGCCCCACCUCGGCCCCUUUCUUCCUGCUGCCGCUUUGCCCAGGGUUGUGGGUGGGUGGGUGGGCGCCCCACUCUGGGAGGGGAAGGAGAGGAUGUUGUGUCUGGAGAGAGAAAAUAUUCCCGGGAUAUCUUCCACCCCCAAAGUCCCUUCUCAGAACCGCUGUGCGUGUUUCAUGCAGAGUAGAAAGGGAGGGGGAGGAGAAUGAGGCAUAAUGAGAGGCUAACAACGUAACGCAACCCCCCCCCACCUUAAUCUACUUCUAAGUAGUAGUACUACUCUGGCGCUCCCCCCCCCUUCCCCAAAAGAGCCUCUUCCUUAGGAUCAGGCUGGGGGAGGGGUGGACUGGGUGUGUGUGUCAUCUAGAUAUCAGUAGCCCCUUUAUUCUGUCCUCAGAAUCCUGUCCCAGCCUGCCGUUGGCUAGGCGAAGUCAGACCCCAAAAGGAGAGAGUCCUCUUCGACCAUGUAGACACGCGCGCGCGCGCACUACUCGGAUUUAUUCCGCAUCCGCCGCUGGUUUGGGCACACGGCUUUAACCGCGACCCGCAUCCACCCCGUCCCCCGUCCCCUUGCCGGCUCUUCUGAUAGGUUCCUUUUCGAUGCCCCCCCCCGCACCCUGCAUGCAAACUGGCUUCGAUCCAGAUUGAGAAAAGCAGCCGCCUGGCUGCAUUUGGAGCCAAUCCGGUAACAGUGCCAUACAAACCAUUCCGCUGAGCCGGUUUCUUCUGGGCUGGCAGGGGGUUUUCAGUGGGUGGGUUGAUGCAUCUUUUGCCAGAGGCAGGAAGUGCUCCCCUUGGUGAGUUGGCACGUGUAAUUUGGAGAAAAGAGAAUAGAUUAAUCCCAGAUUAAAGCCCGUUAGCAACUGUAUUUACCCAAGGGUCACGCUGUAGCUGGAAGCAGGAGGUGGGGGGCGGAGGUCUGUUCGAUUUUAUUAGCAUAACUCCCAACACACACACACACACACACACACACACACACACACACACACACACACAAACACGUACACGUGAGAACAAGAGCCUGGCUGCUGGGUCAGGACAAAGAGGCCCAUCUAGUUCAGUAUCUCCUUCUCUCUUUGGCAGGAACUACCUGUGACAGGAUUUGAGCACAGGAGCCCUCUCUCCUCCUGCAGUUUGCAGUAGCUGGUAGAACAGGGGUCCCCAAACUAAGGCCCGAGGGUCGGAUGCGGCCCAAUCGCCUUCUAAAUCCGGCCCGCGGACGGUCUGGGAAUCAGCAUGUUUUUACAUGAGUAGAAUAUGUCAUUUUAUUUAAAAUGCAUCUCUGGGUUAUUUGUGGGGCCUGCCUGGUGUUUUUACAUGAAUAGAAUGUGUCCUUUUAUUAAAAAUGCAUCUCUGGGUUAUUUGUGGGGCAUAGGAAUUCGUUCAUUUUUUCCCCCUUCAAAAUAUAGUCCGGCCCCCCACAUGGUCUAAGGGACAGGGGACCGGCCCCCUGUUGAAAAAGUUUGCUGACCCCUGUGGUAAAAUCACAGAAUCCUAGAACUGUAGGGUUGGAAGGGGGCCCCCCAAGGGUCAUCUAGUCCAAACCCCUACAAUGCCGGAAUCACAGUGAAAGCAUACCUGAUGGAUGGCCAUCCAAUCUCUCUGCUCCAGGGAAGGGGAGUCCGCCACCUUCUGAGGAAGUCCAACGUCCUGUAGGAAUCCUGCAAGCAGGACCUGAGUGCAGAAGAUGCCAGGAGGGCCUCUGCAAGUCAGUGUAGGCAACACUGAGCUAGAUGUCAUGAUCUAAGUUCCUGUUUAAAUAACCCAUGAGGACCGGAAGUUUAGCAGCUGCUUUGCACACAGAAGGUCCCAGGUUCUCUCCCCCCCCCCCCAGCAUCUCUAAGCAGGACUAGGAAUGUCCAAGGCCACCUAGUGAGCUUCGUGGCUGAGUGGGGACCUGAGCCUGUCUAGCCCAGGUCCUAGUCCAGCACCUUAACCUCUGCCCCACAUGACAACUCCCAUCACACAAUGCAUGUCCCACAGACUCCUUCCGUUUAGAAGCCCCAAGGCAGGUUCCCCCUCCCCCACCUAGGCUCACUGAGAAAUAACAAAAUAAAAAUAUUCCUUCCAGUAGCACCUU